CAUAUACGCGACUCUAGACAGAACGCGGUUACGUACACCUGCCAACGAAACGACCAGCCGGAUUAUUCACAUAUCCCUCAAAAAUUCACGUAAUUAGGCAAGACACUUACACCUAGGGGAUGUUACAUCUCAGAUUUCUUCGUAGAGGAGCCUGACUCGACUCCAUUGCCCUUUGGUGGUCCGGCUAGGGUCCUACGUGAUAAUAUGCCGUGUACCUAUGGACGCCAAGGGUGAUCCAUCGAGUCCUAAGAUUCUAAAAUUCCAAGGACGAUCGUCAUGAAUCCUGAAAUGAUUUCCUAAGGUCCGUCUCGAAUGUUACGGAAAAGGGAUGAUUUAUCAUGGAUCUCUUCGGGGUGGUCUACUUCGGCUUCUUUGCGCCCCAAGGAGGUCUACCUGAAGUCUCGAUCCCAGGGUAGUCUGGCUCGGGUCUCUCCUCUCCGUGGUGGUCUAGCUGACGCUGUUGAUGCCCUUAGUCAUGAAGCUUGAUGAUCUCUAACCUGUGGGUGAUUCUAUUUGAGUCUCUGUACCCCAGGGUUGCAAUGGAAGACAAUGAUGUAUUAAGCAGAAUACAAAAUGUCGUUCGCCUCUAAAACAAUCUAUUGGCUCGCCUAUCGUUUCACGUCGAAUAGUCACUUCUGUAGUGUAUAUAAAUGACACUUGUGCGCACACAACGCAUGGAAGUACGUCCAUGGAACACAGUAAUAGUGGUUCGGUACUUUAUAGUAGGAGCCACGACCUGGGAGGCCUUUCAGAUAAUGCGGAAAGAAGAACAAAAUGACGAUCGAGGCUCAAGGAAGCCUGUCGAGCAUAUCUUAUACAGAUAUGCAUUAUGCGUUGUUCGCAUUAAACUUCUUGCAAUAGCUUGCGUGCAUGUAUGUUCGUUAUUUCCAUCGCCAACCUAGUAAUAUCAUAUAGUGAUGCAAUUUUCUUCUGUUGUUUUGUACGGUUUCAAAUUUUCAUGAUUUAUGGCAUACCAGUUGCAACAGGGAAGCAUAAUGUUAUCGAGAAUUGCAUGAAUUUUCCAAGAAAAAUAAAUCAAAUCGCAAAAUGGCGUAAUCGUGUGUGUUAGGAUCAAUUUCAACUUGUUAACGGGCAUUCUAUGAACGUUUUACC